GCGCUCUCUCGCACGAUCUGCUCCCGGACUCCUUCAGCGCGCUGCCUGCCUGCCCAGGGCCUUCCCGGAGAGCAGGUGACGGCGGCCUCCGGGCAUGGAGCUCGCGCUGACGAAAGGUUCUGGAAGCCGCCGUAAAAAGUAAUCAAGAAACGGGUGACAGGACUUUUCGUAAGACAUUUAAUUUUUACCCAGAGUAUCCGAAACAUUGCCGUGUCAAUCUCAGUGCGAUGGGAGACUGCCGGCCCCAAGGAGCUGCUCGUCCUUCUGCCGAGUUCCGGCCCGGACCCGCGGAGGAGGAGACCGCCGCGCCGGAGCUCGGACCUGACGUUUUUGUGAAGCACAGGGGGCGUGGGAGGGACCGGAUCAAUGCGGCACUCAACAAAACCUGUUUUUAAAAGAGUCGUGCUGUGUCGCCCAGGCUGGAGUGCAGUGACGCGAUCUCGGCUCACUGCAGCCUCCACCUUCCGGGCUCAAGCGAGCCUCCCGCCUCAGCCUCCUGAGUAGCUGGGAUUACAGGCACACACCUCCAGCUCGGCUGUUUUAUUUAUUUAUUUUUUUUUUGAGACGUAAUUUAGCUCAUGUUGACCAGGCUGGAGUGCAGUGGCGCGAUCUGGGCUCACCGCAACCCCCGCCUCCCGGGUUCAAGCGAUUUUCCGCCUCAGCCUCCUGAGUAGCUGGGGUUGCAGGCAUGCGCCACCACGCCCGGCUAAUUUUGUACUUAUAGUAGAGACGGGGUUUCUCCAUGUUGGUCAGGCUGGUCUCGAACUCCCGACCUCAGGUGCUCCGCCCGCCUUGGCCUCCCAAAGUGCUGGGAUUACAGGCGUGAGCCACCUCUCCAGGGCCAAAAGCCUUUUAUUGGAGUACUGGGUAACACAUUCAGAAGAGGGUGCAUAGCUUAGGCGCUCCGUGAAUUUUCACAAACUGAACAUACACCCAGGAACAAGGUCUCACCAUGCUGCCCAAGCUGGUCUGAAAACUCUUGUCCUCAGGCAGUCCUCCCACCUCGGCCUCCCAAAGAUCUGAGAUUACAGGCAUGAGCCACCACACCUGGCCUUGGUUUUAAUUCCUGUCACAGUAUAUUAGUUUUCGCUGUUGUGUAUUGAUUGAUUGAGACAGGGUCUCGCUCUGUUGCCCAGGCUGGAGUGCAGGGGCAUGAUCCCAGCUCACUGCAACCUCCACCUCUUGGAUUCAAGUGAUUCUCCCGUCUCAGCCUCCCGAGUAACAGGAACCACAGGUGUGUGCC
rnacentral:lncRNA from 1 species